UUGAAGCAUCGCUUCGUGUACGAUCACUGAAGUUAAGCAAUGUCAAGCCUUGUCAGUACCUAGAUGGGCGACCGCUUGGGAAUAUCAGGUGCUAU